CCGACCACUGACCAAACUCCACUUCAAGCAGUCCCGAGGACUGCUCUUCCCCUUGCCCAUGGACCUGUCUGCUCAGUCCCUGGAUCUCCCAGGAUCAUGCCGAAAAUUUUGCACUGGAACACAGCACUGGUACUUGCACAAAGUGGAUCUGGCACUUAAUGUCAGCAGCUUCCUUUCUGGGAAGAACCUCGGGAAUAACCAGGAGUGUGCGGAGUGCCUGAAUAACCUGCCAUGUCCCCAAAGUCCUCAAUCACUAGAGCACAGCAAGGGGUGAGUGAGAACCAGACAACACUCAGGAGCUCCAGGUCCACAGCAGCUGCACACCCACCACACACCCUCCUGUGUGACACAACCCUCCUGUCCACUGCCAGAGAAACAAAAACACAGCAGAAGGCAAGGUACAGGAACAUGGGAGCCUUCUACAUGAAAGGUUUGUUGCAUGGGGGACAGCAAAGGCAGAAGAUCACACGUCCCUACAGUUCCAGAAAGCCAUGGCCAGACACUGUAGGGCCAAAUACCUGGCUCCCAGCUAACAAACAUGGGAAACUGCUAAUCAGCCUGAGUCACAGCACCCACCAUGCUGCCCAUGUUGGGGCAUCUCUCUCUUGAGCCCCAGAACUAACCUGGAGCCAUCACCACCCACAAACCUGGCUGAAGCUUGGACAGGAGCCAUUCCUGGGAGUAAUUGCUUCUGGGACCCAGCUUUGCUCAGAGGCCCCGGUGUCUCUGCCCAGGACAGGAGGGCAGACCCCUCAGCCCCGGGUUCACCAUACAACCCCUACCUUCAAACUCGCCUUCCGUGAAAAUUCUGCAACAUUUGCCAUUUCCACAUACAUUUCUGCCAGGAACCUUGUUUGCUUGAAUAUUUGAGGAAAGCAAACAGAGAAGGAGCCUGAACACAAACAGUCAUGGAUGUUUUUUUGCAGUCUUUGCCCUGUUCUAACCCCAAGCCUGCCGGCAGGCAUCCCCUGAUGUACCCCUUGGCUCUGCCCUGUCCCCCACUGCUGGCCCUGCUCCUGCUGCAAAUACUGCUGUAUGUAAAAGAAACUCACCCAGCCCUUGCUGUCUGUGGGACCACCAUCACUCACACCCCUUUGCACUCAUGUUAAGUAAACAUUGUUUAAUGCCAUUUAAGAAAUGUCAGCAGAUGACUAACAGAGUACGACUGGCAGACCUACACCUGCCCUGCUGAGCUCAGAACAUCUCUCAGACACUCCUCAAGCCUUCCUGAGCCUCUUGCUGCUCACCUUCCAGAGCUGGAGCUCAUUUCCUGCUGACAGCAGCCCUCUGGGCUCACUCUCUCUAUAAAAAUACCAUUGUGUUUCAAGCUAAGCCCGAGUUGAGGGUGUGCUGCUGGCCCCAUAAAUGGCUGGAAUGAGGUGGGAGAAGUCACAGCCCUGUGGGUAAGUGCAGACACCCUGUGACACUGAGCAGCAUCCCCAGCUCUUCCCCAAGGGAACCUUCACCAAGCACCAGAAAACAGCUCUUGGGAGCAGACCAAGGUGCUAACACAGUGAUUGUCCCUUUUGCAUCCCAGCAAAUACCUGUGUUUAUUCCUGGCUGCACCAAUACUCUGCUCAGGCACUGGAACGUGCUGACCUUGCCAGCACCAGUGUUACAGCCACCCCAACAUCCAGCAGGGAUGGCCAGAGUGGGAACAAGGAGGGGGGAUGUGCCAGGUGUCCUAAGAGCCAUUAGUCCCUGAUGGCUGCUAGGCCAUGGACACAGAGAGCAAGGAGUAAACAGAGGAGUUAAAGAGCAGCUGACGUGAGUAGUCAAGGAGGAAAAGUUCAGUUGAGGUCAUAUCUAGAGGAAACCUGUAAAAAACUUGAUGUAUUUGUCAGUGAAAAUUAAAAAUACUCAGGAAAUCGGCCCCCUCUUCUGUUUCUCAGUUGAAACUGUUCCCCACAUCUGACCAGAGCUCCUGAGCAGCAAUGACGUCUUGCAUUUUUCAGCUGUUUUCCAAAGCUGCUUUACUGCUCAGGGCCGGCCCUGAUCAUGCGCUGGUCCCUGCUGUAACCACCAGCCCUGGGGAUCCCCAGCUCUGAGAAGAUCCAAAACAUGAAGGAGUGGUGCUGCCUGCACUGGGAUUGAGACCAAUUGCCCAAAUUGUGCCCAAGUCUCAGUGGGAGGACAAAGGUGGGUCAAGGGGCCCGUCCCUUCCUUGCUGCCCAGAAGAUGUUCCCCUUGCCCCCUCUCCAUCCUCCACCUUCUCACACACCUAUUAGCAGCUUCCUGCAGGGAUUUAGCACCAGUGGAGCCCUUUCCAGCUCACAGCCCGUCCUCAGGUUCUGGUGAGGAUUUUGAAUGUGCCUCCAGCUCCACAUCUCUCCAAAGCUGCUGCAUCAGUCCCUUGUCCCUCAAGGACCCACCCAGGGUGCUGGGGACAGGCCAGCUUUGUCACUGCCUGGCAGGGCAUCCUCCAAGUCCUUUACACAAGGCACAGGUCUGAUGGGAGGGAGAUAAGUGUCCCUAGGGUGUCGUUAAGGGGAAAUGCUGGUGAUAGUCUGGAGCAGGGAUGGAUGGGGAGGGUUGCAGUAACUGCAGUGGGGGGAAUGCUCCUACUGAUGCCACCACUGCCAAGAGAGGGCCAGACCUGCUCGCUGUCCCGAGGCUGAAUGCCAGUGCCAAGCUUCCCCAAGAGAAUAUAUCCCUGGCUUCAGAUGGAUGCUGAAAUCCUGAAGCUCCUAAGACAGAUGGGGAGAAGGGAAAAUCAGAAAAAUCUUUCCAUCUUCCAAAAGAAACUGAAAAUAACUCUGUGACCCUCUCCAAGGCUGAAGGCUCCUCUGGAGGACCCUGGUGUGCCCCCAUCAGGCAUGCCAGCUCCAUGGCCUGUCCUGCUGAGGGCUGGGAGCUGCUGGCUGCAAGGGCAUCACCCCAGCAUCAUGGCUGGGGCUCAGCACCACCACUGCUGUGUGAGCUCCCACGCUGCUUUCAAAGGGAGUAAACUUCCCCCUUGGGAAGGGUUUGGCAACCACCUUGCCAUCUGCAGGAUGCCCCCUCUGCUGCCCAGCCCCAACCCAACCCUACAGAGCUGCUGGGGAAGCCAGGCACUGCCCAGUCCCCCAUCCCACCAACCCUUCCUCACCUCUAUUUGGAUAACUUUUUCACCCGAUUUAUUUAUGAGGACUCCCCUCCUUCUGCCAACACUCUGAGUUUCCUCUCACUUUAGUCUGGGAGGCCCAUCUCACUCUUUUAUUCUUAUUAUUUCUCUCUCCCCCUUGCCUGGCCCCAGGCUUGCAGCGGGUGCCGGCCAGAGCCUGCUUUUGUUCAGCCACAGGAGCAGAUGGGGAGAGCGGCCACAGGUGGGAUGGGCAGUGAUUCCUCCCCAUCCACCCCACAGCACCUGGCUCUGCCUGCACUUGCCCAGGCUCAGCACGUGGCUCACUUACUGACUCUCAGACUGAAAAGUUAAAACCAAAUUUAAAAAUCACAAUUAAUAAAAAUCAUUUUUAAAAAAUUCAGGAGAAAAUUACUGUCAGAAAAGUUUACUUGCCUGUGUUUAAUGUCACUGAUGUGCCAGGGCCAGCAAGUGGCUGCUCACAUUAGAGCCAGCUGCAAGUGGGCAGAAUAACUUCAUCCUAAGUGAUAAAAGAGCUUGUUCAGCUCCUCAUGUGUCAGGCAAAGCUGGUUGCUCACUGCAGAAAUGAAGUUGGCUUUGCACCCUGGGGCAAAGCUGGAUGCAGGCAUCCUGGAUGUGGGCACAGCCAGACCUGGCCACCCUGCACCACCAGGCUGAUGGGAACAUCCCUUGACCCUCCCCUUCUCCUGCAAAUGAGGUGCAAGUCAGUCUGUGAGCUGGCUGGGUCAGGAGCUGUCUCCCACCAGCAGCAGGGGCUUCAUCCAGGAGGAUGCUCAGCACUGGCUCCUCCGGGGCCAGUUCUCACCCCAGCAUCUGACCCUCUGCACAUCUCAGAGGUAUCAGUCCUUCGUUUCACCAGCUCACACGUGUCCUUCACCACAGGCCCCUUGCACUUUGUCCAAGCAGCACCAGCUGGACACAAAGACAUAGCCUGCACUAAACAGACCAAAACCUGGACAGUGUUUUCUGGGCAUUUUCCUGCUGCUGGCUCCUGCAGCUCAGAGGCAGGAGGGAACAGAGCUCCUCCAGAGACCUGGCUCCUGCGGGCUGGGGAUGCACAAAUGAGCAACCUGAUAAAAGCAGCCUAAAACAGCAUUCCAUAACUGCUUGAUCACAACUGCCUGCUCCAGCCUAGGCCAGUGACACUGCAGCUGAUCCUAUACAACUCCUACACGUUUCCAUUGCCCUAGGCCAUGGACCCACUGAAAUGCUGAUAUGCCCUGUGCCUGACCAUGGCUCACCAUGGGGUGAUGUGACCUGAAAUGAUCUGCAGGGUACUAAAGUGCUGGGGGCUGGGCAAGGAGGCACAAGGCAGCAUGCCACAACAGAGGUGGGCUGGGGCUGGAGGUGACACCCGUGGGAGGCUGCAGGCCUGGAUCAAGGGAAGCAACCAUCCAAAGAGAGGCCAUGAGCAAAGUGCAAAAAGGUGUCCUGGGAGUCCCAGAAGCCCUCCUGGGUCCUGGGUUUGCACACACAGUAUCUGGGAGGUGGGCUGGGCAGGGGCUGCACACUUGUAAAAGAGAAGAGGAACAGGACAUGAAAAACAGAG